ACUUCCUCUCUGUAGUUUUUAUUCUGUAUCUUUUAUGGAGCUCCAGAGUGUAUAUAAAUAGGGGACUCCUUAUCCAUAAGGUUGACGGCUGACGUAGCAGCUGAAUUUGCUUGUUUCAGGUGGGAUGCCUACAGCUGAUCAAUGCUCUCAUCACUCCCGCUGAGGAACUUGACUUCCGGGUUCACAUCCGAAGUGAGCUGAUGCGCUUGGGACUGCAUCAAGUGUUGCAGGUAAGAUGGAACCUUUCCUUAGGAAGGCUGCACUUCCCUCCUGCUCUUCCAGCCCUGGUCAUCUCUGAGAUGAUUCUGGUUUUCAACUUAAACACCAGGUUGAAAGGCUUGGAUUUGGGUUCUCUCACUACUUGCUGUCAUUGGCAGGAGCUUCGAGAGAUUGACAAUGAUGAUAUGCGAGUACAGCUCAAUGUGUUUGAUGAACAAGGGGAUGAAGAUUUCUUCGAUCUGAAGGGACGACUGGAUGAUAUCCGCAUGGAGAUGGAAUAUCCUUUUAUGACUGAUGACUGAGUUCAGGACAGAUGAUACAUUUACUUACAGACUGAAUGUAUGGAAUAGUCUGGAGAGUGAUCACUUAGAAUAAGGCCUAAGACUGGGAAUGGUGGCACAUGACUUGAAUUCGUCUCCUAGCACUUAGGAUCUCUUUUGAGUUUGAAGCCAGCCUGGUCUGCAUAGUGAACUCCAGGCCAGGCCAGCUAAGCCUACACAGUGAGAGUCUGUCUCAAAAAAAAAAAAAAAAAA
rnacentral:lncRNA from 1 species